CCUACGGGUGACAGCAGUCGAGAAUCAUUCACAAUGGGGGAAACCCUGAUGGUGCGACGCCGCGUGGGGGAAUGAAGGUCUUCGGAUUGUAAACCCCUGUCAUGUGGGAGCAAAUUAAAAAGAUAGUACCACAAGAGGAAGAGACGGCUAACUCUGUGCCAGCAGCCGCGGUAAUACAGAGGUCUCAAGCGUUGUUCGGAAUCACUGGGCGUAAGGCGUGCGUAGGCUGUUUCGUAAGUCGUGUGUGAAAGGCGCGGGCUCAACCCGCGGACGGCACAUGAUACUGCGAGACUAGAGUAAUGGAGGGGGAACCGGAAUUCUCGGUGUAGCAGUGAAAUGCGUAGAUAUCGAGAGGAACACUCGUGGCGAAGGCGGGUUCCUGGACAUUAACUGACGCUGAGGCACGAAGGCCAGGGGAGCGAAAGGGAUUAGAUACCCUAGUAGUC
rnacentral:rRNA from 1 species